AGAGUUUGAUCCUGGCUCAGGAUGAACGCUAGCGACAGGCUUAACACAUGCAAGUCGAGGGGCAGCGGGGGUGCAGGCUUGCCUGCACCUGCCGGCGACCGGCGCACGGGUGAGUAACACGUAUGGAACCUGCCCGCCACAGGGGGAUAACCCGGGGAAACCCGGCCUAAUACCCCAUGCCGCCCGGACCGGGCAUCCGGUCCGGGCGAAAGGAGUAAUCCGGUGGCGGCUGGGCAUGCGGCGCAUUAGCUUGACGGCGGGGUAACGGCCCACCGUGGCGACGAUGCGUAGGGGUUCUGAGAGGAAGGCCCCCCACACUGGAACUGAGACACGGUCCAGACUCCUACGGGAGGCAGCAGUGAGGAAUAUUGGUCAAUGGGCGGAAGCCUGAACCAGCCAAGUCGCGUGAGGGAAUAAGGCCCUACGGGUCGUAAACCUCUUUUGCCGGGGAGCAAGGGCCGGGACGUGUCCCGGCCCGGAGAGUACCCGGAGAAAAAGCAUCGGCUAACUCCGUGCCAGCAGCCGCGGUAAUACGGAGGAUGCGAGCGUUAUCCUGAUUUAUUGGGUUUAAAGGGUGCGUAGGCGGGCUUUUAAGUCAGCGGUAAAAAUUCGGGGCUCAACCCCGUCCGGCCGUUGAAACUGGGGGCCUUGAGUGGGCGAGAAGAAGGCGGAAUGCGUGGUGUAGCGGUGAAAUGCAUAGAUAUCACGCAGAACCCCGAUUGCGAAGGCAGCCUUCCGGCGCCCUACUGACGCUGAGGCACGAAAGUGCGGGGAUCGAACAGGAUUAGAUACCCUGGUAGUCCGCACAGUAAACGAUGGAUGCCAGCUGUCCGGGCCGAAUGGGGCCUGGGUGGCAAAGCGAAAGCGUUAAGCAUCCCACCUGGGGAGUACGCCGGCAACGGUGAAACUCAAGGGAAUUGACGGGGGCCCGCACAAGCGGAGGAACAUGUGGUUUAAUUCGAUGAUACGCGAGGAACCUUACCCGGGCUCAAACGCGUCAGGGAUCCCCUUCGAAAGGAGGGGAGUCAGCAAUGACCUGGCGCGAGGUGCUGCAUGGUUGUCGUCAGCUCGUGCCGUGAGGUGUCGGCUUAAGUGCCAUAACGAGCGCAACCCCUACCGACAGUUGCUAACUGGUGAAGCAGAGGACUCUGUCGGGACUGCCGGCGCAAGCUGCGAGGAAGGCGGGGAUGACGUCAAAUCAGCACGGCCCUUACGUCCGGGGCGACACACGUGUUACAAUGGCAGGUACAGCGGGAAGCCACCGGGCGACCGGGCGCGGAACCCGAAACCCUGUCUCAGUUCGGAUCGGAGUCUGCAACCCGACUCCGUGAAGCUGGAUUCGCUAGUAAUCGCGCAUCAGCCACGGCGCGGUGAAUAAGUUCCCGGGCCUUGUACACACCGCCCGUCAAG
rnacentral:rRNA from 1 species